ensembl:lncRNA
AUGCAGAAUUUAUCAUGCAAUCUAGAACUGAUUACUGACAUACUGUUUAAUUCAGUAGCUCAUUGUUUUCUGGGUAAAAAAAGAAGAAAACAAUCAAAAAAACUGAAUGAGCCCAGUCAAGAAACUGGUACGAGUUGUUCUGGACCUGCAGAGACAUAUUCUCUGAUCACUUUUGUACCAGCCACAUCUCAGCCCAUAGGCCUCGAACACCCAGAGUCACAUCAGGACAGCACAGCAGUUCUCACAGACACUCGCUCUUUCAUUACAUCUGUAAAUCCAAUUCACCAGCCCUCAGAUGGUUUGGUCAAUAAAAAACGGAAAUGGAGAAACACAGAGGAAAAUGUGAAUGUUAAUCAUCUAUACUCAACAAUCCCUGACAAACCAGUUCACUCCAACACAGGAGAUCAAGUCUACAGUUUGGUGAAGAUGCACUGA